AGUGAACGCUGGCGGUAGGCCUAACACAUGCAAGUCGAACGGCAGCACAGUAAGAGCUUGCUCUUACGGGUUGCGAGUGGCGGACGGGUGAGGAAUACAUCGUAAUCUACUUUUUCGUGGGGGAUAACGUAGGUAAACUUACGCUAAUACCGCAUACGACCUACGGGUGAAAGCAGGGGAUCUUCGGACCUUGCGCGAUUGAAUGAGCCGAUGUCGGAUUAGCUAGUUGGCGGGGUAAAGGCCCACCAAGGCGACGAUCCGUAGCUGGUCUGAGAGGAUGAUCAGCCACACUGGAACUGAGACACGGUCCAGACUCCUACGGGAGGCAGCAGUGGGGAAUAUUGGACAAUGGGCGCAAGCCUGAUCCAGCCAUACCGCGUGGGUGAAGAAGGCCUUCGGGUUGUAAAGCCCUUUUGUUGGGAAAGAAAAGCAGCAGGUUAAUACCCCGCUGUUCUGACGGUACCCAAAGAAUAAGCACCGGCUAACUUCGUG
rnacentral:rRNA from 1 species